GUAGACACUGGAGACUGGGCUAGAAUAACUCAAAUACAGUCCCUUCUCUGAUGGCUGAGUAGUUUGAACUUUGGAGACUUAAUCUUCUGGACAAGAGUAGUUUUUUCCAGUAACGCAUGGCCUGGGUUUCUCUGUUAAUUGCAGGGUGCCAAAGUUAGGAGGCGAAAUGAUUGGGACGAAUGGUUGAUUCCUCUAGAGAGUAACGUUUGUAUUCCGUCAAGCUCUGCAGCUGUGCCAGGUCCCAUUGUCAAUAAUCUGACAGCACACCUUGGAGGUGUGGUUCUGGUAUUGUUAGUAAGACCGUACAUGAUUUGGUGUACAAUUACUCUUCCAAGGCUAUACUAAUAGAUAAUCCUGGUCAUUCUCUAAUUUUUCCUAUCGUGGAUCACCCAGUACAAAGUGAUGGUAAUGAGGAUAUUUGUCGGAACCGAAAAAAGUUGUAGUGCUUCAUCCUGGCUACCAAGAGAGAAUGGGCUGAAAAGGCAUUGGUUGCAGAUGAAGGAAAAUAAAGAGUCAUUGAUUUAUUCCUAUGGUCGGUAGCGCUAUAUACACCGGAUUGGGCCAAG
rnacentral:lncRNA from 1 species